GUAAGAUGGGCUCGCGUCUGAUUAGCUAGUUGGAAGGGUAAAGGCCUACCAAGGCAACGAUCAGUAGCCGGUCUGAGAGGAUGAACGGCCACAUUGGAACUGAGACACGGUCCAAACUCCUACGGGAGGCAGCAGUGGGGAAUAUUGCACAAUGGGGGGAACCCUGAUGCAGG
rnacentral:rRNA from 1 species